GGGGGUGUAGCUCAGUGGUAGAGCGCUCGCAUAGCUGCAUGAGGCCCUGGCUUCAAUCCCCAGCACCCCAA
rfam:Ictidomys tridecemlineatus contig020033, whole genome shotgun sequence.